GGUUUCCUGGGGCCUCUCUCCUUUUAGGAGUCCCACUUAAGCUCAGUUCCUUGCCUGAGUGUGUGCCUGUACUUGGCUGUGUUCCUGCCUGGCCCUGGCCUUGGCUUGGCUUCCUGGCCUGAGCUUGGUCCUGCCUCAUCACUGCAGACUUGUCUGAGCUCUCUGGGGUGAAAUUUGUGCAGCUCCACACCAAAAAAAAUGUGAUGAUACAGAACACUUAUUUUGCAUUUCCACACUGGAUGUGCCACGACACAUGUUUUUAAGGGAAGAGGCCUAGUUGAGGAUUAAAGAUCUUGGGAUGUUGAAAGCUGUUAUAAAUGCAUAAGGAAGAAGUGGGAAAAAGGAUGAACUCCCAGGUGAGCCCAGACACAGCCAUAUGUGGAGGAGUGUCAUUACCAUCCUGUUGGGAGACAGGCAGCAAUGCCUGAUGCAGGACACCAGCCCCUUCUUUUGCUUCACUGAAGAAGCUCUGUGAAAAAAAUUUUUGGGAGCCAUGUCCAUUGAUACAGGAGGGCAUGGAUUGCUCAUUCUGAAUGAAUUUUUGAAAAUAACGAGUGAGAAAACAGCAUGUAUGUGAAGGCCCUACAGAAUUAUGGUACAUCUGUUUCAAAGCACCGAAGUGCAGACUGUCCCUAAAACAAUUGUGGCAUCUGUAACUCUUUCCAUUCUGACUGUGCAGAAGAAAAAUUUGCCAAAAUAGCCGUUGUGGGAAAACCUCUAGGAAGUUUCUUUCCAGCUGUGAAGUUAUUUGGGCUUUGCCAAGCCAGGGUGGCAGAGCUGCAGAGGCCCCUCUGAUGGGAGGGUGGCCACAGACGCAAAGAGCAGCUUGUGAGUGUUUGAUGUCUGCCGGUCACUGGAGGGAAGAACAUUCACCAGGAGAGCAGACUGGCCAGCCUGAUGGAAACGAAGGACACUGGCUAUGAGGAAACAAGGAAGGAACUGGCUGUUGUACUUUCUCCCCUGGCCAGCUGGAGACAAGACACCAGAGCACGUUCUGCCUGACAGACACAGCUGCUCCUGCAGGACCAUGGGGUGAGGGAAGGUACAUGUGACCAAGCUCCCAUCUGUGCCGUGAAACUGGAAUCAGGAAGAUGGCAAAAAGCUUCAAAAAGGCAAAAUAGAUAAACAUGCAUCUCUUUGAUCCUAUCAGAGCUUUGGCCACACUUUCUGGAUUACUGUGAUUUAGCAAGAAUAUAGAGAAAGUUCCCCAAACCAAGGUCCAAGUGCUUCAAGCUAAGUUCAUAGCCCAGGCAAAUAAUUCUCUUGUGUAACACUCCAAAAAAUAAUGAGAGUUUUGAAAAGGAAGUGUUCCUCAAUACUGACUGUCUGACAUGUGAACUAGCCAGACUAGUUAAAGCUUAAUUAAAAAGUGCCAGAGUGACUAAAUUCUUUUCUGAGUGCAGCUGCAGAACGUUAGCUGUGGGCAUAUUUUAGACCUUAAUUAGUAACACUUGCACUAGAGGACCAAAAUCUUUCAUGAAUGCAGCUGCAAUCAAUUAAUAUCAGUCAGGCAUUUCUGUAGGCAAUACAAGGGUUCUGAAAAUUCUUUUAGUGCCCACCUAGAUUAAAUUUUAAAAAAAAAAUACUUACAUGCAACAGAUUACAA